UGUCUAGGCUGGAAGGAGCCUUAGAGACCUUCUAAUCCAACCCUUUCAUUAUACAGAGGAAGAAACAGAGGUCUAGGUCUGGGGAGAGAUUCACCCAAGAUUACACAAUAAGUGAAUAACAGAGCCAAGACUAGAAUCCUUUGUGUCCUAUCUCCUAGGCUAGGUGUGUGCCCAUUGUAUCACUCUGCCUCUCCAGCUUCCACAAUUUAACGACCAUCUUUAGCUGCUGGAGUCAUGGAAGUAGAGGGAGUCUUAGGAUACUCUAGGUCACAAAUUCCUCAAGUUUUUUUAGGUUCCUCAUUUUUCCACCAGAUCGCCAGACCUUCUAUGACUAAAUGUACCUCCUGGGUGAUGGUUGACUUGAUUGUCCUAAUCUGGAAUGCCCUUUUCAUCCCAACCUUUCCUAGGCAAACUUAGUCAUCCUUCAGGAAUGAACAAGCCCUCUCUCCUUCAAGAAGCCUUCCCUCCCUUUUCUAUGGAAUUACUUUAUUCUCUAUAGUCUGAUAGUGGGGGUGGGCUACUCCACACCAUCCCAACUCUCACUCUCUUUGUGAUCUGGGCCUUACUUGAUUUCCAAAGGAACAUACAUGUAUAUUAAUAACAAUAAUAGUAGUAGUAGUAGGCAUUUAGAUAGCAUUGUACAGCCAUUUUGCAAAUACAGGAUGACUGGGAUCAUUAUCCACCUUUAAAACAUUAGAAAACUGGGGCACAGACUAGUUAAAAAACUAGCCUGGGCUUUCAUUGCUAGUUUGUGAUAGAAUUAGGAUAGGAACCCUCCUCUCUUGACCCCCCCCCCAGGCUAGUGGUCCCUUUGACUCAUUUUAUUCUGUGUAGAUUCUGUAGCCACCUUCUUCCUAACCCCACCUCUAUUAUGUGAACCAUAGUUACUUCCAGUUAGGUCCAUGUUUUUCCCAGUCCCACACCCACCCUCAGAAUUACUGUCCCCUCAGAGAAGUAGGUUUGAUCUUCUGUCUAGAAGUCUUAAUAGAUUUACAGAGUGCCUUUCUGGGGAGCCUUGGAUAUGGACUGAGGCUUUGGCUAAUGCACUUUCUUUUUAAACCUUUAUCUUCUGUCUUAGAAUCAAUGGUAAGUAUUGGUUCCAAGGCAGAAGAGUGGUAAGGGCUAGGCAAUGGGAGUUGUUACUUGCUUAGAAUUUAAGUAUCUAAGGUCAUAUUUGAACCCAGGACCUCCCAUCUCUAGGCUCUCAAUCCACUGAGCCACUUUGAUGCUCUAGAUAUGUUUUUCUCAUGAGGAAGUGUCCCAAGGGACCAAAGUCUUAGGUGGUUGAUACAGACAUCAUAAAGGAUAAAGGAGUAGGAAUGUGCCAGAGUGUACAAUCCUGUCUGAUCAGCUGAGCACGGAGUGGAUAAUAGGAGAGUGUGGGACAGUGAGAAGGACCUAGAAAUCAGAAGACACG
rnacentral:lncRNA from 1 species